rnacentral:rRNA from 1 species
CGAACUGUGCAAACGUUAUUCGGAAUCACUGGGCUUGAAGAGUGCGUAGGCGGUUUUGUAAGUAGGGUGUGAAAGCCCCCGGCUCAACCGGGGAAUUGCGCCCUAAACUGCAAGGCUUGAGUGAGGUAGGGGUGUGUGGAACUUCCAGUGGAGCGGUGAAAUGUGUUGAUAUUGGAAGGAACGCCGGUGGCGAAAGCGACACACUGGACCUUGUCUGACGCUGAGGCACGAAAGCCAGGGGAGCAAACGGGAUUAGAUACCCCGGUAGUCCUGGCCGUAAACCAUGAGUACUAGUGGGGAGGAUCGCAAGGUCUUCCUCACGGAGCGAAAGUUUUAAGUACUCCGCCUGGGGAGUAUGGUCGCAAGGCUG